rnacentral:misc_RNA from 1 species
AACUUACUUUUAUUUUCAGAUAAAAUGUUUACUCCUCCACCUUUGGAGAAAGAUUCGAGUUCAGACAAAUUUAAACCUUUCAAUGAUUUCCCGCCAUCAAUGGAGGACUUCUCCCCUCCCCCCAUGGGGAACUUUUCCCCACCCCCUAUGGGAGAAUUCUCUCCUCCCCCUAUGGAAGAUUUUUCACCCAGUACUGAUUUUUCGCCUCCACCUUUUGAAGAUUUUGCGAUGCCAGUAUUGGAAGAUGAUGUUGAAGAUGAGAUAUAUGGUUCAAAUGAUUUCAUGACUGGUGUAGAUAUGGAAGAUGAUACUGGAAAGUUAGAAAAUAUUCUCCAACUUGCUCCUAGAGAGAUUUUGGAGUUAAAGAAAGCAAGUGAGAAAAGUACAAACUUUUUAGUGAAUCAGCUGAAGGGGGAAAACAUCACCAGAGAGAAAGACCAAAAUCAAGAAAAGAUUGAACAUCAAGAAUCUUCAAAACUUAGCAAUGAUAAUAUAACAUCAGGAUUGAAACCAAGUACAGAGAAUGGAAUAAUAGAAAACAUAUCAGAACCGUUAACAGAUUUAAGGGAGAAUAACGAUAUUUAUCAGAAAAUUGGAAACAUGAAAGAAGAGAGGGAGAUUGAAAAAGUAGCACCUAAAGGUGAGAAUAAUAGUUCUGAAUCAAUAGCAGAAGAAAAGAUAAUUUCAAGAUCAAUAGGAGAGGAAAAGAUGGGUUUUGAACCAACAACAGAAGAUCAGAAGGUUUCUAGACCAAUAGGAGAAGAUGAGAAGGUUUCUGAACUAAUACGAGAAGAGGAGAUGGUUUCUGAGCCAAUAGCAGAAAAGGAGAAUGUCUUUGAAUCAAGAGGAGAAGAUGAAAUGAUUUCUAGACAAAUAGGAGAAAAGGAGAUGGUUUAUGAACCAAUAGGAGAAGAUGAGGUUGUUUCUGAACCAAUGAGAGAAGAUGUGAUUGUUUCUGAACCAAUAGAGGGAGAGGAUAUGGUUUCUGAACCAAAAAGAGAAGAGGAGAGGGUUCCUAGACCAGUAGGAGAAGAGCUGAUGGAUUCUAAACCAAUAGAAACAGAGGAGAAGGUUUCUCCACUAGUUGAAAAAAAUGAAAUUUCUUUAUCAUUAUCAGACAAAACCAUAUCUCAAACCAAUUGUGAAAUUAACGAAUCGAAUGAAAUUCAAAGUUUAAAUAUUUCCUCGCAAAUGAACAGCCUCAAAACUUCAGUCAGUGAUUUACAUUUAAGUGCAGAAGUUGAUUCUUUGAACGAUAAAAACUUUGAUGAAUGUUCUAGAAUUACUAUUGACGAUGAAAAUUCCUCCUUUGAAGAAAAUUUAGGGAAUAAUAAUCAAGUUUUGUCAGAUAACGAAAGUAACCGGAGCAAGACCGAACUUACUUCCGUAAUUAAUCCGCCAAAUAGUGAUGUGGAGCAACCAGAUUUCUUCGCAGAUUUCGAUGGAGGAGACCCAAUUUCCGAGGAUUCCGAGGGUUGGGGUAACUUUGAGGAAACAGUUGCUGCCCCUUGGGGUGGGGUUGGACUAGAUGAAGAUGCUGAUUUCGGAGAUUUUAAUGAUAUUGUGGAUGAUUCCAACGCCUUAAGGGGGAGAACUGAAAACGAAAUAGAUAAAUUAGUUUCAAAGUUGAAUGAUGAGGUCGAUGUGCGACUGAAUAGAAUAUUCUGUAAUAGCGAAGACACCGACGAAAAGAAUGAAAAAAUUCAAGAAGAUGAAAAGGAUGAGGAGCAAGUGGCGGAAAAAGAAAGCUGUCAUGAAACAGAAAAUACAUUCUUGAAUUCAAAUAUAUUGUUGGAGACGGUAAAUAAGGAUAGAAAAGUGUGGUUGAAAAUGGAGGACCCGUCCCAGACUCCUGCCCUGGAGUUCACAUGGUCAGAGUCUAGCUUAUACUCCAUCCUACUCUCUACACUCAACAUAGAUACUAGAGUCAUGUUAAAUGGAGAAAGUUGGAAGAACAGUAUUCCAAGGAAUCAGAAAUCUGGUAUUCUACAACCAACCAUCCUGCAACCAUCAACUGUACAGCCAGUUGUACUGCUACCAACAACCAGUUCACAGCCCUCAACAGAGCUUCAACCCUCCCCUGGUUUAUCUGAUACAACCCAGUCCGACAAUGUGAAGCUUGAGAUACUGCUAGAUCAAGUGGUAGAGAAGAAAUCAAAUCCGGAGGAGAAUAUAUGCCUUGAAACUAAACAGAAUAAUCUGCACUCGCCGGACUUUGACUGGAGUUUACCUGACGGAAUAUCAAACGGAGUUGAACACGGUAUUGAUGAUAUCUCGGCUCAGUCCCAAAUAUGGGAAAUAAACUCUGCUGGUUUGGGUUCUGUCUCUGGCUUAACUAGGGGCCCCGAGAACAUAUCCUUGGACCCGGUGAGGGCCCCCGGGAGCAUAUCUGUUGAGGCUAAAAAAGUUCUUGAUUCAUUCCCUCUUUUGAACUUUAUGAGCAGUACAGUAUUGCAUCCCCCCUCUAGGUUUCUGAAGUCGAGCAAAAAGCCUGUCUUUAAAUGAUAAAGCAGAGCUUAGGAACUAGAUAGAUGUAAAGUCUACACAAUACAUAACAAAAUAUAAUCUACAAUACCAACAUUAGUCUCUGCUUAAUGCUUGUGUACUCUACAAACUUGGCUCGGUUCUAAACGUUGUUAACUAAAUACAGUUAUAAGCUACUUUUGACUUCUGCAUUCCUAUUGACUUAUGCAUUCCAAUUCUUUUUUUUAAACGUUCAGAUAAUUUCUUAAUUUUGGUUUUUUAGUAUCAAUUAGUAUUCAAAGUUUCCAUUGCAUUAUCUUCAAUGUCUUGGAAAUUAAUCGUUAACUGAAGUUGUGACAAAUUGUGAAAUUUUUAUUAUUUCUGCCAUAAAACAUUUCGUCUCUUUUAUCCCUUAACCAGCCUUAGUAUGAUAUUGCUAUUGUUGAAAUGUCUUAUCAUAAAAUUCUCCAGUUUUUGGACACUUAAAGUCGGCAAAAGGUUUCAUUUAUAAUUUAUGUAAUUAUUUAAAGGGAAUAAAAUAUGUUUUUAUAUAUCUGUAACUAAGUAAGUGAUACUGUGAUUUUAGAAAUUUAUAUUAUAUUCGUAAAAUAUAUAACUUGGAUUGAUU